GGCUUCAAUUACUCAACAAAAUGAGCAACACACACAACAAUAGUGACUACAAGGUAUCAACAUCAACAAAUUUGGAAGAAAAUGAAACAAACUGGUAUUCGUCAACUAUAAUAUUUUUCGAUCUAACUCUUGUUUAUACCUUAAAUGCCCAAUUCGUGGCUUAAAUUAAUUAAAGGACCCUACUAAAAUGAGCUCAUCUUUUUAUUGUCCCUACGUUUUUUCUUCACAAAAUUUAAUAAGGAUUAAUUAAGAAGAUACCUGAGACUGUUUAUGCUGAUGAGGGUUGCUGAGGUGCUUCUGUUGGAUGAUGAUGAAUGAUGCUGACCACGCCGAUGAUGAAAAACGGAUGAAUGAUGGAGGAUGACCAGACUAUGUAGGGGAAACCAAGGUGAUGGCGGAUGAAUGAGAUGUCUUCUGAUAACUGGAGAAAUUGGCGGAUGAUUUUAUUAAGGAUGGUGGAUGGUGUAUACUCUGGUGGAUAGAGUUGAUGUGGGCGUUGAAAAUGACGGGUAAAGUUGAUGGAUGGAGGAUAUGCGGCGGAUGGUGAAUUUGGCGGAAGUGGCUGGCGAAAAUGGCGUUUUUUUUUAUUUUUAGCUUUCAGUUUUUAUUCUUGGCUUUAGUUUUACUUUUUACUUUUCAUUCAGUUUUUUUUUUUUUUGGUUCAUUUAGUUUUAGUUUUAAAUUUUAUUUUAGCUUUAACUUUAUUUAUAUAUAUAAAUUUAGCUUUUAGUUUUAUUUUAAUUUUUUAUUCAGUUCGCAGUUCAGUUCUAGUUCAGUUCGGACGUGUUUAUUUUUACUCCGAGUUAACUCGUUAUUUUAAUGUAUCUAUCGGAAAAUAAAUAUAAA